AAUGAACGCUGGCGGCAUGCCUUACACAUGCAAGUCGAACGGCAGCAUGACCUAGCUUGCUGGGUUGAUGGCGAGUGGCGAACGGGUGAGUAAUGCAUCGGAACGUGCCUUUUAGUGGGGGAUAACGUAGCGAAAGUUACGCUAAUACCGCAUAUUCUCUGAGGAGGAAAGCAGGGGACCUUCGGGCCUUGCGCUAGAAGAGCGGCCGAUGUCGGAUUAGCUAGUUGGUGAGGUAAAGGCUCACCAAGGCAACGAUCCGUAGCGGGUCUGAGAGGAUGAUCCGCCACACUGGGACUGAGACACGGCCCAGACUCCUACGGGAGGCGGCAGUGGGGAGUUUUGUACGAUGGGCGCAAGCCUGAUCCAGCCAUGCCGCGUGAGUGAAGAAGGCCUUCGGGUUGUACAGCUCUUUCGGCUGGGAAGAAAUCGCACCCUCUAAUACAGGGUGUGGAUUACGGUACCAGCAUAAGCAGCACCGGCUAGCUACGUG
rnacentral:rRNA from 1 species